rnacentral:lncRNA from 1 species
UUAAGAUUCUUUUCAUAUCUGUUUUGACUUCAAAUAUAUUACAUUCUACCCUUCAAAUCAAAGAAUACAUCGAAGAUCAAGACGAGCUAAUUUUAUGAGAAGAAGGGAGGAUUGAAUCAAAAAGUCGAUCAAGACGAGCAAAGAUAAGAAGAGAAAUCACAAAAGGGUUAAUUUUUUCCUUCUCCAUAGAUCAGAUUAAUGAGAAGAAUUCACGUGUUUAUGAUUGGUUUCAAUUAUAUCUAAAAUUAAAUUCACAUGAUAACGAUGUUCUUAUACGGUGUUAGAUAUAUUUGGAAAUCUUUCGAUUCAGUAAAUUUUGUUCAAUCCAAAAGGCAAAUACUUGUGUGAGACCGGAUGUCAAUCGGGCCAACUCACCGGGUUUCAGACUAGCCCUAUCGGGUUACGGGUUAUUCAGGUACGAGCUAAUCGGGUUGAAAUUUUUUUUCGGUUAGAAACGCCAACUUCUUCAUCAACAAUUUUGGCAUUCCUCUUUGUAUGG